AUGCGAUGGCGCAUUUCUGGUGGGGAGACGAGGAGAACCAAAAGAGGAUGCAUUGGAUGGCCUGGUGGAAAAUGUGUGUACCAAAAAACCAAGGAGGGAUGGGUUUCCGUGACAUCCACUGUUUCAACCUGGCUCUGCUUGCAAAACAGGCAUGGCGUCUCCUUGAUAAUCCUGACUCCUUGUGUGCUACUAUUCUAA
rnacentral:rRNA from 1 species